GAUGAACGCUGGCGGCGUGCCUAAUACAUGCAAGUCGAGCGAACAGACGAGGAGCUUGCUCCUCUGACGUUAGCGGCGGGCGGGUGAGUAACACGUGGAUAACCUACCUAUAAGACUGGGAUAACUUCGGGAAACCGGAGCUAAUACCGGAUAACAUGUUGAACCGCAUGGUUCAACAGUGAAAGACGGUUUUGCUGUCACUUAUAGAUGGAUCCGCGUCGCAUUAGCUAGUUGGUAAGGUAACGGCUUACCAAGGCAACGAUGCGUAGCCGACCUGAGAGGGUGAUCGGCCACACUGGAACUGAGACACGGUCCAGACUCCUACGGGAGGCAGCAGUAGGGAAUCUUCCGCAAUGGGCGAAAGCCUGACGGAGCAACGCCGCGUGAGUGAAGAAGGUCUUCGGAUCGUAAAACUCUGUUAUUAGGGAAGAACAAAUGUGUAAGUAACUAUGCACGUCUUGACGGUACCUAAUCAGAAAGCCACGGCUAACUACGUG
rnacentral:rRNA from 1 species